rnacentral:rRNA from 1 species
CCCUCUCGAUGAACGCUGGCGGCGUGCUUAACACAUGCAAGUCGAACGAAUCAGCCUUCGGGUUGGUUAGUGGCGGACGGGUGCGUAACACGUAGGUGACCUGCCCUAAAGUGGGGAAUAACUCCGCUAACGCGGAGCUAAUACCGCAUGUGGUUGCUCAUUCAUUUGGGUAACUAAAGUCGUGAGAUGCUUUAGGAUGGGCCUGCGGCGGAUUAGCUAGUUGGUGGGGUAACGGCCUACCAAGGCGAUGAUCCGUAGGGGGCGUGAGAGCGUGACCCCCCACAUUGGCACUGAGACACGGGCCAAACUCCUACGGGAGGCAGCAGUGAGGAAUAUUGCACAAUGGGCGAAAGCCUGAUGCAGCAACGCCGCGUGAGGGACGAAGGCCUUCGGGUCGUAAACCUCUUUUCUGAGGGACGAGACAAGGACGGUACCUCAGGAAUAAGUCUCGGCA